rfam:Ixodes scapularis strain Wikel colony gcontig_1108378650324, whole genome shotgun sequence.
UAAAAGGCCCUUCUCAGGGCCCCCAUAUUUUGCAAACGGAGCCGUGU